rnacentral:rRNA from 1 species
AGUGAACGCUGGCGGUAGGCCUAACACAUGCAAGUCGAACGGCAGCACAGGAGAGCUUGCUCUCUGGGUGGCGAGUGGCGGACGGGUGAGGAAUACAUCGGAAUCUACUUUUUCGUGGGAGAUAACGUAGGGAAGCUUACGCUAAUACCGCAUACGACCUACGGGUGAAAGCAGGGGACCUUCGGGCCUUGCGCGAUUGAAUGAGCCGAUGUCGGAUUAGCUAGUUGGCGGGGUAAAGGCCCACCAAGGCGACGAUCCGUAGCUGGUCUGAGAGGGGGACAAGCCACACGGGAACUGAGACACGGUCCAGGCUCCUACGGGAGGCAGCAGGGGGGAAUAUUGGACAAUGGGCGCAGGCCUGAUCCAGCCAUACCGGGUGGGUGAAGAAGGCCUUCGGGUUGUAAAGCCCUUUUGUUGGGAAAGAAAUCCAGCUGGCUAAUACCCGGUUGGGAUGACGGUACCCAAAGAAUAAGCACCGGCUAACUUCGUGCCAGCAGCCGCCGUAA